UACGGGGGGAGCAAGCGUUGUUCGGAUUUACUGGGCGUAAAGGGCGCGUAGGCGGCUUGGCAAGUGGAAGGUGAAAUCCCUCGGCUUAACCGAGGAACUGCCCUCCAAACUGCUUCGCUUGAGACCGGGAGAGGUGAGUGGAAUUCCCAGUGUAGCGGUGAAAUGCGUAGAUAUUGGGAGGAACACCAGUGGCGAAGGCGGCUCACUGGACCGGUACUGACGCUGAUGCGCGAAAGCGUGGGGAGCAAACGGG
rnacentral:rRNA from 1 species